rnacentral:rRNA from 1 species
CCUACGGGGUGCACCAGUGGGGAAUAUUGCACAAUGGGCGCAAGCCUGAUGCAGCCAUGCCGCGUGUAUGAAGAAGGCCUUAGGGUUGUAAAGUACUUUCAGUUGGGAGGAAGGCGUUGAUGCUAAUAUCAUCAACGAUUGACGUUACCAACAGAAGAAGCACCGGCUAACUCCGUGCCAGCAGCCGCGGUAAUACGGAGGGUGCAAGCGUUAAUCGGAAUUACUGGGCGUAAAGCGCACGCAGGCGGUUGAUUAAGUUAGAUGUGAAAUCCCCGGGCUUAACCUGGGAAUGGCAUCUAAGACUGGUCAGCUAGAGUCUUGUAGAGGGGGGUAGAAUUUCAGGUGUAGCGGUGAAAUGCGUAGAGAUCUGAAGGAAUACCAGUGGCGAAGGCGGCCCCCUGGACAAAGACUGACGCUCAGAUGCGAAUGCGUGAGGAGCAAACAGGAUUAGAUACCCCCGUAGUC